GCUGGUUUUUUUGCUAAUUCAACUUACUUUAGUGAUCAAACGAUAAAUUACAGGGGAAUACUAUUUUUGACGAUACUCUUCGGAUAAUUCGGUUUAAACAACGGAUACACACAGUUGGAUAGCAGAAAAUCGGCUCCGAAGAAAAUGCAUGCCUCGCGCUUCAGGUCCAGCAGCUCACCAUAUAUGAGGUUUGACCUGAUUUUUCUUUUCCCUUUUUUGCUUUUUCUUUGUAAACGUUCGGGACGUUUCACAUGAUUUUUUUGGCAAUAAAUGAACCGCUGCGUCAAAAAUGCCAAUGCCAUUCCAAUAUCCUUCUUUAAUUUCAGAGGUACUCUAUCAACGUCAAAUUGUCCAACAAGGCACAUACAAACGGAAGUUGUUUUUUUAUUUAGAACACAGUACAAACGCAGACUCUCACAACACGCGCAUACACUCACCCCUAUGAACGCACACCCCCACACCCCUGCCCCUAUGAGCACCUCCGAAAGACUGAGCCAGCAGUUUUUGAGAUAUUGACGAAGUCACCGCUUGCGCCUCGCUCUUGACGGGCACGUCACCUACCACUGAAAGAAUAGCGCCGGUUAAAUCUUGCAAUAAUUUAGGGAAAUGUGACACCCAUAUCAAGUUUAGGACUUGAACCUGAGUGAGCUGGUUCCACCACAAGGAAUUUUCUGUAAUGUAGUAGUGCAUAGUUAUAUAUAGUUCCGCAUGUACUAAAAAGUUAAGUUA
rnacentral:lncRNA from 1 species